UACGUAGGGUGCAAGCGUUGUCCGGAAUUAUUGGGCGUAAAGGGCUCGUAGGCGGUUUGUCGCGUCGGGAGUGAAAACCAGGUGCUUAACACCAUGGCUUGACUUUCGAUUACGGGCAGAACUAGAGGUAUGCAGGGGAGAACGGAAUUCCUGGUGUAGCGGUGAAAUGCGCAGAUAUCAGGAGGAACACCGGCGGCGAAGGCGGUUCUCUGGCAUGACCUGACGCUGAGGAGCGAAAAGUGUGGGGAGCGAACAGG
rnacentral:rRNA from 1 species